CUCAACUCAAACGAGUGUGCAGCACAGCCACUGCGGGAGAGGAAGAACAAGAAGUCAGACCAUCUGUGAGGCUCAUGGAGUGCCACCAGGGCACUGCACAACGGCUCCAGAAGAGCAGGCUUGGAAAGGCCACAACUGUGUUGUAAUCUGCUCCAUGUGAAGCAUCCAUCUGCUGUUGAACUUUGGGGAAAUUCUUUGCCUGGAUUGGCUUCAGACACUGCAUGGAAGGCCUCUUUUGAGGCAUGACCUAUUCUCCAGGCAGGUUUAUUAUCCAGAAUUAGAAAUCAC
rnacentral:lncRNA from 1 species